rnacentral:piRNA from 1 species
GAGAGGCUGAGGAACAGCAGUGC